UCCCUGGUGGCUCAAAUGGUAAAGAAUCUGCCUGCAAUGCAGAAGACCCAGGUUCGAUCCCUGGGUAAGGAA
rnacentral:tRNA from 1 species